UACGUAGGGUGCAAGCGUUGUCCGGAAUUAUUGGGCGUAAAGAGCUCGUAGGCGGUCUGUCGCGUCUGCUGUGAAAUCCCGGGGCUUAACCCCGGGCGUGCAGUGGAUACGGGCUGGCUGGAGGCAGGCAGGGGAGAACGGAAUUCCCGGUGUAGCGGUGAAAUGCGCAGAUAUCAGGAGGAACACCGGUGGCGAAGGCGGAUCUCUGGGCCGUAACUGACGCUGAGGAGCGAAAGCAUGGGGAGCGAACAGG
rnacentral:rRNA from 1 species